rnacentral:lncRNA from 1 species
GCCUGGGGGCAUCCCUGUGCCAGCUGGGUGAACAUGGCUGGUCACUGUCCCAUUCUGAGUUCAGCCUCUUUCUAGAACAAGAAGGGAGGUGGCACCAGCCAGGUCGCACAUCUCAGAUAUCGGACAACUGGGGAGCUGAGGUGGACCAGGAAGGGGAAGGCUUUCAGGUCUGGCUUGCUCAAGGGACUCAGCUCCUACCCCGGCCCCAGCUGUUGCUGAGCCUGAGGGCAGGUGGUGCUGCCAGGUGCCUUGUGUUGGCCUCCCUGCAUGCGUCCUGCCUGGUGGCCCAAGUUCAGCAUCCACACUUAUGCCAGCCAGUGCCCUAUACCACCCUCACCCUUCCAAGGCUCCCACAGCCUUCAGGGCUGCCCAGUGUGAGAGCUGCUGUGAGUCUAUAUGGGUAGCUUGGUUUCUCUGAUUGGGAGCAGCUUCCCCAGGGCUGGGAGCAGGACCCAGACAGUUGCUGUAAAUGCUGGUGUGUCGGCCCCUCUGGUGCUGCAUUGGUGACAUCCAGGGCCUGAUCUGCUUCCUGACAGUCCCCAGAGGGCCGCCAUCCUCAGCCCAUUUCAUGAAUGUGGAGACAGAGGCUCAGAGAGGUAGAGUGACUUUCCCAAGGCCACACAGCAGGCCGGGUACAGCUGGAAUGGGCGGCCAGCUCUGUCCACCCCAUGAUCUGUGGCUGUCUUGCCUUCCAGGCAGCACUGCCUGGACAGGCAAGCAAGACAUACUGGCCCUCCUGCAGUCCCCGG